AGCAGCCGCGGUAAUUCCAGCUCCAAUAGCGUAUAUUAAAGUUGUUGCAGUUAAAAAGCUCGUAGUUGAAUUUCGGAAUCUGUCCGUCGGUCGGGCUUCACUGUCCGUACUGGUGUGAUGGGUUUCUACCUUCUGAAUAACCGGCAUGUCAUUAAUUUGGUGCGCCGGGGAAGCAGAACUAUUACCUUGAAAAAAUUAGAGUGCUUAAAGACGCUAUCGCCUGAAUAGAUUAGCAUGGAAUAAUAAAAUAGGACGGCAUGGUUCUAUUUUGUUGGUUUCUAGGAUCACCGUAAUGAUUAAUAGGGAUAGUUGGGGGCAUUAGUAUUCAAUUGUCAGAGGUGAAAUUCUUGGAUUUAUUGAAGACUAACUUCUGCGAAAGCAUUUGCCAAGGAUGUUUUCAUUAAUCAAGAACGAAAGUUAGGGGAUCGAAGACGAUCAGAUACCGUCGUAGUCUUAACCAUAAACUAUGCCGACUAGGGAUCGGAUGAUGUUAAUUUUUUAAUGACUCA
rnacentral:rRNA from 1 species